rnacentral:lncRNA from 1 species
GGCAUUUCCUGGACGGAUUUGACGUAGAAGGAGUGGAGGGAGCCGUCGUUGUCUUCGGCGGCGAAGCCGACCUUGCCGGCCUUGAGGUUGGUGAUGUUGACGUAGCCGGCGGUGCCGGAGGCUGAGCCGGUGGCCUGGAACAUGGAGGAGACGAGGGUGGUGCUGUUGUUGAUCUGGUGGAGCUUUUUGGCGCCGAAGUAGUCGACGAGGACGUGGAGGGAGAGGACGUUUUUGAUGGUGGGGAGGGAGAGGUGCUUGUCGAGGAGGGAGGACAUGGCGGCAUUGUCGAGGGCCAGGACGGUGAUGGUCUGGCGGCGGUUGAUCUCUUCGGCGAGGUGGGUGAGGGAGAG